GCCCGGAUGGUCUAGUGGUAUGAUUCACCCUUAGGGUUUCCUAAUUUGGGUGAGGUCCCCGGUUCGAGCCCGGGUUCGGGCC